rnacentral:lncRNA from 1 species
CUGCCUCAGCUUCCGGAGCAGCUGGGACUGCUGGCGCCCGCCACUACGCUCGGCUAAUUUUUUUGUGUUUUUAGUAGAGACGGGCUUUCACCGUGUUGGCCUAGCGGUUCUCCAACUCCUGACCUCAUGAUCCCCCCGCCUCAGCCUCCCAAAGUGCUGGGAUUACAAGCGUGAGCCACCGCGACCCGCCAACACUCUUGACAACAGUGCUGUGCUAAGAACUUGGGGGACUUCAAAAAGUUCACCAGUUCCUGUGUCCAUGGGUGAAAAGAUUUUCUACAUCUUUCCUUGACUAGAAACAGAAGUCCUGAAACAAGGUACACCUUCUUGAGGCUUACUUGGUGAGUCUAAUUUGUCUUCUGGCACCACUGUGAAUUUGAAGGCUUACGUCUUCUUCCCUGAUCAUAUGUUUUCUACAUGUCAGGAAUAUAACGUCAGGAGGCCAGAGGCUUUGUCCUGCCUAAUGUGUUAUUUCCACACUGAAUAAAAGCACCUGAGUCCUGGUCUCAGAGUGAGAACAAUGUCUUCUAUGAUGAGUGGCAAACACAACAAGGCAUUUUAAAAAGGUUGUACAUCUAGCAAUACCUAACAAAAUAGGAAAUCAACUUGGAAAGCCAAUGGCUGUGUUUUGAGUUUAUGGAGAGCCAUAUGUGGCAAGGAACUGAGGGUGGCAUCCAGGCAACAGACUUCAAGAAACUGAGGCUGUCAGUCCAACAACCCACAAGAACUGAAUCUGACCAACAAUCACAGGAACAAACUUAGAAGUAUACUCUUUCCCAGACAAACCUUCAGAUGAGACCACAGCCCCAGCCAUAAGCUUGAAAACAAUCUCAUGAGGGACCUUGAGCCACAGGCAUGUAGUAAAGCUAUGCCAGGAAUCCUGCCUGCCCCACAGAAAAUGUAAAAAAAAUAAAUUUUUAUUGUUUUAA